CAGUUACUCCCGGAAGCGCUGGGACGGGUGGUGAGGGGCCCCGGCAGGUGGCGCGCCUUACAGCGGACGGUGUUCGUGCUGCUUUCCGUGCCGUGGUUUCUGAAAGAUACAGACCAGAAGAGGAGUUUGGGGCUUGACACCUGACAUCUUAACACCAGUUCCUGUUUCUUGAGGAAGGAAGAGGUAAAAUAAAUCAGCGUUUUCUGUGUCCUUCUCCAUCCCCGGAAGUCCUCAUGAAGACCCUCUCAGCUUCAACUUGAACGUGAAUAUGAGCAGCUGAUCAUCUGUUCUGCAGUCAGCCCCUGGCCAGAUUCUGACUCAUGAUAUUGACCUUCUCCAUCAUCACCUUCCACAAAUUUGAUUCCUGUCUAUUCUGCCUGGAAUGGUGCACGAGUAUAGUCACCGUUUAUGCUCCUGAUGAAAGCUGAACACCUGGUUCCUGGUCUUACUAUACAAGUUUCAUAGAGGAUGCGAAGAGGAGUUUGGGUUUGACACCUGACAUCUUAGCAGUGGUUCCUGUUUGUUUGGGAGGGAAGUGGUAAAAAGAAGGCAGCAUCUACUACUUCCUUUUCCAUGAGUCUCAGAAAAUCCUCCUGAAGACCCUCUCAGGUCCCAAGGACUGAUGGGAAAUCCCUUGGUUUAUUCUUAAACUUUGCCCUUGAGGCAUAUUUUGUUGAUGACCACAUAUAAAAUAUUGUCCUCUCAAGGAUGCACUCUAAUUCUUACCUAGACUUGAUGCAGAAUGAGUAUAUAUGAAAACUAAAGUUGGUUCUUAAGCAAGGGAUUAUCUCUCAGAGAAGGUCCAUGGGAAGGUUCAUACCAACUUCUGUGGUACUGAUAUUGCUCCAAGGAGCCCUGGUGGUACAAAAGUUAAGUGCUCGGCUGCUAACCGAAAUGUUAAUUGUUUGAACCUACCCAGAGGCUCUAAGGAAUAAAGAUCUGGCAGCCUGCUCCCGUUAAGAUUACACACCAGUAAACCCUAUGGGGACAAUUCUCCUUUCACACCAGGCCACGGUGACUCAGAAAUCCCCUCGAUGGCACCUAGCAAAAACAACAGGAAGACAUUGCUCCCGAUGUGCUUGAAAUGCCUCUCUGGGGAAGGCCUUCAGAGCUGGCUCAUGGCCACAUGGGAAUUGAGACUCAUUUUUUUGUUUCCACGACUUAUUUUGGGUCCAAAAAUUUAUUUUCCAGUUUAUUCACCAGACUUGAAUACAGCCAGCUCUCAGAUAUUGUCAAAAUUAAUUCCUUUCUCUAAUAAUGAUUUGCCACCAAGAGUGUAUUCCCAAGCAUUUCCAAGAGACUGGAAAACCUUUCCAAAGAGGCAUGUCCAGUGCCAUGUUGUGCAGUGACUACAGUGUUGACAUAGUAUAUUUAUCCACAUAGUUCCCACGUUUUCUGCUUUCCUGAAAUAUGAAUGAAAUUCCAAGUCUACCACCUGAACCACUUUUCUCAGUGUUUCAUUUAGCAGAAGUCUGGUGGUGAUGAAUUCUCUCAGUUUUCCAUCCCCUGAGAAUGGCAUUACUUUUGCUUUACUCCCAAAGGUAUGACUGGGUAUAGAAUUAUAUAUCUAUAUAGAUUAAUAUUUCCCUCUUUGUGUUGAAAAAAUGUUGUUUCACAAUCUUUUGGCUUCCAUGGCUUCUGAUAAUGACUAUAGAGUUAUUUGAAUUAUUUUUCCCAUUUGAAAUGUGUUGUUUUCUGUCUAACUUCUUCCUGAGUAUUUUCUUGGUCUUUGUUAUUCUGCCAUUGAUUAUGAUAUAUCAUAUUUUUAUGCAAAUAAUGCAUGUUUUAUAUAUAUUUUUUCUUUUUUUGUCAACUGCAUUUUCCCCCUCCCAGGUAUUGUCAUAAGCACAGUACGCCGUUUUCUUUUUUACAUGUCACUGUAAAAGAAUUCGUAUAGUGUGCUUAAAAUAUUUUCAUAAUAAUAUGUUAUUGCGGUAUAUAAUUCCUUAAAUUUAACUCAUUGGGGUUUGCUGAGCUUCUUGAAUCUGUAAGUUCAUGUCUUUCACCAAAUUUGGAAAGUGUUAGUAUUUCUCCUAAUACUUUUUUCUGCACCACACAUUUUCUCCAUGUCUUCUGGAGUUCCAAUAAAGAAAUAGGGUUUUGGUCUAGUUUUUGAGGCUCUGCUCAUCUUUUUCUGUAUUUUUUCUCUGUUUUCAGAAUAAAUAUUUUCUAUUGAUCUACUUCCAACUCAGUUUUUUUCUCUGUCAUCACCAUUCUGCUUUUGAAACUAUCAAAUGAAUUUUUCAUUGCUAGCAUUGCAUUUUUAGCAUGUAAAAUUUUCAUUUGCAAAUAGCCACUAUCUUUCCACGUAUUUAAAAAAUGUCCCUGAUAUUUCUUGGAGCAUGAUUAGAAUAGCAUUUUAAAAUACGUGUCUUAAGAUUUCAAAACUGUAAGUCUUGCUUAAAUGUUAUGGAAAAACAAAAUGUUAAUUUUGUUUUUUUUAGCAUUCAAUUGACCCAGAUAUGUUCAUGCUGCAAGUUCUGUCCUGUUUUUGUAUUCUGUGGCUCACAUCUUUGUUCAAUUUUUGAAGCCUUUGCGGUGAUACUCGGGUCUAAUCUACAUGAGUGCCACCCAGACUGGAAUCUUGAUGGCGUUGUAACCCCUAGUGAGGCUCUUAAAGGAUUUGAUAGUGCUUCUUAGGGUCAGGGCAAGGCAUAUGCAUCUGGGGGGAUGGGUGGUGAACCAGGAGUUCAUAGCAAGUUUGAAGAAUCUCUUUCUUGUGCCGCUUCCUCUCUCUAUUUCUCUGAUGCUCUCUGAGCUCUGAAGGAGUGCUUUCUUGGCCCACUGGUAGGAAUCCUGUGGCUUUAAUCUCCUCAUUCUGUCGUGCACAUAAGCGACUGGUUCUGCCUAUGGGGCCAAAAUACUCCACAACCGGCCCAAAGGUUGGCAGCAUGAGUCUGUCAAGAAGCGUCUCAGAAGACUAGCCUGGUGAUCUGCUUUCGAAAAGUCACACCCUUUGAGGCAGAACUGACUAAAUGCCAACAGCGGACAGGGAGAGAGAAAACGUAAUGGAGCUUCCUCCACACUCUUGGGCCCUUACAUACUCUGGUCAGAGAGAAGGAAUCUGUUCUUCCAGAGUUUUAAGUUUCUUCCCACCUGCCGACUUGCCCACCUCUCUCCUUUAUGGACCCUCUAUCCCAUUUGAUAUGAGAGAGUGCUUCUCUUGGAGCUGUUUCUGUGCACAGCUGGUAUGCAGUUACAUGAUUUGGACUCAUUUAAUUUCAGCCUCUGGAAUGUUUAUACUUUAUGUUCUGGUUUCCUACCACUGCCAACCACUUCCUUUGCAGAGUCCUGAGAUAGCGGCCCAUGCAUUUGUCCAGAUACUUAGUUGUCACAUACCAGUAUAGCCACUGGGGGAAGUGUUGGUUGUGGUAAGGGGGGGAGGGACUGUACACUGAAGGAGCUGCAAGAUCUGGCUGCCUUGUGUGAGCAGGACGGGGGUGUGCUGAGGAUGGGUGCUGAAGGUGCUGAGUCAAGGGGAGUUUAAUAUAAAGUUGGGUCAAGGACAGUUUGUUGAUAUGGGGGAACUCUCUCCUAACAAGGAUUUAUCGCCAUAGCAAGGGCUCUAGAAAUGGGUCUCGUAAGCUGUGGCAUUGUUCUUCGAUGCUUGGAAAAGGCAAUGGCCCACUAUCUACGAAAUAGAAAUGCCAGACCUGCUGUGUCAGAUGUGGGAAGAUGAGGCAAAAGUCUCCAAUAUGUGGCCGUGGCAGAGUUAGUUUCUAUAAGACCAUUUCUUGGCAGUCCUGAAGGACACGCAUUUCAUCAAAAUAAUAAGGAAUGCAGAGAUGAGGGGAGCAGCAACAACACUGAACUUACUGAUAUCUGUCUUCUCUAGGGGGUCCCUGGGUGCCACAAACAGUUCAGUGCUCAACUACCAGCUGAAAGGUUGGCAGUUUGAACCCACCGAGGGGUGCCUCAGAAGACAGGCCUGGUGAUCUCCUUCUAAAGGGUCACAGCCUUGGAAACCCUAUUAAGCAGUUGUACGCUGCACACAUGGGGUUGUCAUCAGUUGGAAAUGACUUGACAGCAACAAACGACAACAACAAACGACAACAAUUCUCUAUUGGCUGAGAUUGUUCAUGGGAGCUGGGCUACCUCAUACCAAUAUAAGUAAUGGGAUCCCAGCCCAACAGAGGCCAGGUAGAAGUACUUAACUGUCAGAAACAAGUUGUGUGUGAUUACAACAACGGUCAGCAGGUCAGAGUAUUAGUUACCUAUUGGGGCAUAAUAGACUAUCCCCAAACUUAGCAGAUGAGAGAUAAAUGGAAAAAUAUUCAAUUCAUGCUGAUAAAUUUGGAACUAGACAAAGAUUUUGGUAAGACUCAACAUACUUUUAAGGUGAAGGGUUAAACUAGAAAAUUUAAAUAACUGGUAUAAGUAUAAAAACAGAUUUUCAAAAUAAUGAUAUAAUUGCAUACCCGAAUAAAAGACAAAUACAUCAAAAUCAAGGGUUUCUGUCCCAUGUGGACAUAAGAGACUAAAAUUAGCAAGGGUGGGAAAGGCUGGUCGUUCUCUUUCGCCUAUUACUUGACUGUAGCAAACUGUGUCCAAAACUAUAAAAUAUUUAGGGGAACAUUGUUUUGACCGGAGCAGCGAAGGACAUAUAUAAAGAAAACUAAUGUAUUAACGUAAAUAAAACAAAACCUGAAUAUGUGCAAAAAAAUAUGCCAUAUUUCCAAGUGGGAAGCCUUGUUAAUCAAAUGGAGGUUCCCAAAACUAACACAUAAAUGGAUUGCAUUUCCAAUUAGAAUAUUCGGGUAGUUGUUUUUUAAUUGUAUACAUUAAUCAUAAGCUACAAGUAGUACAAUAGAUAACAAAGAAUGUUGUUGCUGGAGCCUUGGACAAGAUGUUUGACUCAGCCGUCCCGUCUGACUGCCCAGUAGGCCUUUAUAGGCCGUAAUCUUUAUGGGAGCGGACCGCCAGGCCUUUCUCCCUCAGAGCCACUGGGUGGGUGCGACCUGGCAGCCUUUCUUUCAAUUAGCAGUCAAGCACUUAACCACUGCAACACCAGGGCUGCAUUACCAAAGAAUAGACAAGAAAAACCUGAAAUAACAGGAUAGUAACAGGUGUCUACCUCAUCAAGUAACAGAACAAAUCAAUAUUACAUAGCAUACAAACUGACAGGUAGACAACUGAAAUAGAAAACCUACUAGGAAAUCACAGUAACUAUUCAUAAAAAAAAAAAAAAAGGUGGUGUGAAAAUCAUAUUUAUUUAAUAAAUGGUGCUGACUCAACUGAUUGUUCUGGGGGACAAAGCUUGCAAAAAUGUGAUACACAAAUCAUAGAUUUGGAAAAUUAUGUGAAAUGUAGAUGACCAGGAUUAAUAACAGUUUAUAUUUUACACAGAAGGAUAAAAGUUAAGCACUUGAAAAAUGAGCAGUGAAUUCAAACAGAUCGUUCACAGCAAAUCCACAUGCCCAAUAAACAUAGUCCAAGUUGCUCAAAAACACUGGUAAAUAAGAAAAUAUCAAAGUCCCAGUGAAACUGGCACAAUUUAAAAAUCGACACCAUCUAUAGCUGGCUGGGCUGUGGGGAGAAGGAAGCCCUGAGACAUGGCUGGAAAGGUGCUUUAGGACAGCCUAUAGGGGAAAGACAUGACCAUGGCUCUGUACUUUUAACAUUCUUUGAACUGGAAAUCUCACUCUGUGGAGUCUACUCCACAUAAGCGAAUCCUGUACUAUACAAAGGAUGUUUAUUAUUGAUGCUGACAAAACAUUGACUGUCCAUUGGUGGUGAAAUGAUAGAGAAUAUAUGGUAGAGCUACAUCAUCAAUAACAUAGGGAGUCAUUAGAAUGAAAAAGAGUUGUAGUAGUUAAGUAGGAGAAAUCUCUGUGAAGUAUUAUGGAAGUUUACUGAAAAAAUCAAGGUGCAGAAAAGUAUAUAUAAAAUGAGCACAUUUGGGUAGAACAAUAACAAUUGAACAUAUUUGAAUACCUGUUUACAUGUAUGUGUGUGUAUAAAUGAACAGAUGAUGGUACAUGUAUGUGUGCGUGUGCUUUUUUAAGCAAGGAUAAGAUAGACUACUUACCAUAUGGUCGAAGUGCAUUACCUUGGAUUCACUUGUGGGAAAGAACAGGGGGUGGAAAGCUAGAACAUGCAGGAAGAGUGGACUGAAAAAGCAUGGGUGAUAACGUGUUUCCAUUUCACUAGUGUUAUGUAUGAGACAAACAAAUCUGUCUUGAAAGAAGCCGGAAUGUUCCUUAGAAGCAAGGAUGGCUUUAGACAUGUUAUCAGAAGGGACCAGUUCCUGGAGAAGGACACCAUGCUUGGUAAAGCAGAGGUCCAGCGAAUAAGAGGAAGACCCUCAAUGAGAUUGACUGACACAGUGGCUACAACAGUGGGCUCAAAUAUAGCAACCAUUAUGAGGGUUGCCCAGGACCAGGCAGUGUUUUGUUGUGUUGUGCAUAGGGUCGCUGUGAGUCAGAGCCAACUCGAUAGCACCUAACAACAUGUCUAAGUCUAGAUAAAGUGUACUAAAAUUGUUAUCAUCUAUUUAAUUUAUGUGUGUAACUUAGAAGACAUAAAAAUAUAGUUAAUGCUAUAUCUAAUGACUUACAGAGAGUCAAGAUAGAAUGUCAAGGGAAAGAAGGGGCAAGAGCAAUGUGGGUAGAGUGUGACCAAGUUUCCAUAAAAGCAAACACCCCAUCAGAUCUACUUGUGUACCUGUGACUGUGUAUACAUGUCACAGCAGAGAAACCUAGGGAAGGAUACACGUGUCUAUUAACUUUGGAUACCUUGGGGGAGCAGGAGCAAAAUAUGAGGGUGGGACUCUGCAUGUUAACUUUUUCAUUAUACAAAUUUGUAUUUUUAGACAUGUAAUAAAAAAGAAUUUCAUAGCUUUGGAAAUUAGUAAAUGACAUAGACAUAUAUUUUUAAAUAGGUGAAAAUUCUCUAUGACAGACAAAGGUUUUAAUCACUGAAAGGAGAGCAUACCACAGACAGUAAUAAUCACAAUCAGUGGAUUUCUUGCAUGUUCUUGGAGCCAAUGUGCUCUUCUGGUGUCUGUAACUAGAAAUGACCAGAAAUAAUUUGGGGAAGUCAAUCACCUCUUGCAAACACACGUCCACAGCUAAAUGAAGGAGAAUGGACACCAUGUGCAAUUCACUAGGUAACUCAUGUGCCUCUAGAAGAUUCUCUUUCCCGGAUAUGCUGCCACUACCUCCUCCCCACCUUGCCACACCGAAUAACCCACCCUUGUGCAUUCUAGGCCCUUUUCAGGACUGAGCUUAGAUGACAUCAACUGAGAAGAUAGUUGAUGAAUAGAAGAGAGUUUGAUGAAAAGAUUUCAGAAAGCAGUACCUCCCCAACCAGCCUCUCCCCAACCUGGGAAUGCCAACCUCUCCCACUCUGAUACCUCUGAGAAUCUCUGAUUUUCCUUUUGGAUCCUUAGGAGACUGCUGAAUUCACCUGUCCUGAAAGCCUUCACUGCCCUCUACCUCUGACGCUGUUCCAUGCAGGAGCUGUCUCUGUCACUCUGAGAAAUCCACACAGGACAGCCUGUGGUUGGAGGUGCUCAUUCUGGAGGUCCUGCCCUCCCUGCCUGUGUCCCGAAGGCUUCCCUGUGACAGUAGAGGUCUCAUCUUCCAGGGAGAUGGCUACGCCCCUGUCAUGUCCAGACCUGGGACCUGAAGCUACGGCUGAGAUUUGGGCUUUUCUGUCCACUACUUAGUCUGGGCCUGAAUCUGCCCCUUCCCACCCUCACCUCUGAUCACCUGUGUUCUUGCUGUUCUCUCUGGGUUUACAAGCCUGCCCUCUGCUUCUUUCAUCUGAGUCAACCUUUUUCUUCAGUUCUUUGACCUCAGGACAUGUCAGGUUAGACCACAGAAAGAAGAAAAAAUAUUAGCAAGUUUCAUUAACAUGUGGAAAACCUGAAAGAAUAGCUUGAUUUAGAGGAGAGGAAAAAGUUCCAAAGCUCUACUCCUUACCUUAGGACAUGCUAUACAGAAAAUAUCCUGCAAGCACUGGAUCAACUCUUAUCCAGAAAUGGAAAACACCCAGGAGGAUUUUGCUACACCAGCUCCCCCUUCCACUCCCCUAAUCCUAAUCGUAAACCCAAAUUCACCCUGUGAGGACAGAAGACAUGACCGGGGUGAGCUCCUUUUUCUCCACCCCGCCCUCCUGUCCUCCUCCCAAGCCCUGCUUCUUUCUCUGCCUGCAGGCUGCUGGGAAGGGACCCAGAGGCCUUGGUUUAGGGCUUUAUGUUCACUGCUCACCUGCGGGCAGGUUCCGCUCAGUCUGCGGCUUCUCUGAUUCCUUCUCCUGCAAAGAACUCAGUGACACCCCAUGACCGUCACACCUCCCUUAGAGCUGUCCUUGCAGGGACCCCUCAGCCUCCCAAGUCCCACUGAAAUCCCAUUUCCCUUUCCCUACUUAUGCUAUGCUCAUCCUCAGAGUUCUGAGACCUCAUCAUCCAGGUGAGGCCUGUCCUCUCCUCUUCUGGGCCAGUGGAGCCUCUGAGGGGACCUGGUGUCUGCGGUCAGCCAUCUGGGGCUUCCUCCAUCCAGAUCCUCCUAGGGCUGGAGCUCUCUGUGUAUUCGGGGUAGGAGGGUGGGGAUCUUCCAGGGGAGCUGGGUUAAACAAAACUGAAUGGAGGUCUCUCCUGAAGGGCCCACACUUCCAGCCCAAAGGCCCUGCUCCUCCUAGUCCGGGGGUGCUAGAGGGUCUUCUGGUGCUUCCCGCUCUGGCCUUAGUGCUGCACCUGCACCCUCUGUAGCCUGAACUUCUGCCUCUGCAGCCUCUCCAGCUGGUCCCUCAGCCUCUUUAGCUCCUCUCUCUGCUUCUCCAGCUGCUCCUCCAGGUGCCUGCAGACCCACACUCUCCCUCACCUCCCUCUUCUUGGCGGCCAUCAGGCAGCGUCUGCCCACCUGGCGGCAGCAUUCGGGCCUACAGGGGACUGAGGGUGGAAUCUGGAAGGCAUUAUGCUGAGUGAAAUUAGUCUGUCGCAAAACGACAAAUACUGUAUGAGACCACUAUUGUAAGAACUCAUGAAAAAGUUUAAACGCAGAAGAAAACAUUCUUUGAUGGUUAAGAGUGUGGGGAGUGAGGGAGAAGAAAAUUCACUAACAUUGUGAAAAUGUCAGUUCUACCCAAAACCAUCUACAGAUACAAUGCAAUCCCAAUUCCAAUUCCAAAGACAGUUUUUUUAACAGUAACUGUAGACAAAUAUCAUCUUAGGUGAAGGGAAGGACAACACACAAUACGGGGGAAGUCAGCACAACUGGACUAAACUAAAAGCUAAGAAGUUUCCUGAUCACAACCAAAUACUUUGAGGGACAGGAGAGCAGGGGCGGUGGUCUGGGGACCAUGGAUUCGGGGGACGUGUAGGUAAUUGGCAUAAGGAAGUUUAUUAAGAAAAUGUUCUGCAUCCAGUUUUGGUGAAUGGCAUCUGGGGUCUUCCAAGCUAGUAAGCCGCCAUCUAAAAUUCAGAGAUAAGAGGUUUGGGAGAAACCACAGCCCAUCACACUCCGUUAUCAUUCCCUGAACUCACAUUUCUCUUUCCAAUAGAAUGGUAACCUCUUUGAAGGCAGGGAAAACUUUCAAUUCAUUUUUAUUACAUACUUAUUAUUAAGUUUCCCCCAAUCCUCCCAACAUCUCCAAAAGCUGCCAUGUUUGUCUUGUUUAGGUUCAAACUGGGCCCUCGAAACUGAACAAUGUCAGCAAUGAUGUCACACAAGUGUUAUGGAAGCCUUGGUGCUCACUCAGAUCCAACUGCUCUUUGGAGAGGUUGUCGAUCUGAGGUCUCCUGUGGGAGAGCAACUUAAGCUACCAGUUCACAGAGAGUGAUUCCUCAGUUGGAGUUCCCAACUCGUGAGAGCUUGGAACAGAGGGGUGAACAUCCUUUGGGGGACCUUUUUUUUUUUUUUUUGGUUUACCUUCACCCAGUCAGGAUGAAAUGGCAAUAUGGGAAGGAGAAACCUCUAAGACUCGAGGUAGGGGUGGGAGAAAAAUUCUUCCUGAUUGACAGGAGGUGUGUGGCAAAGAGUCUGAUUUCACCAGACAAGAUUUGGAGACAAGAUAUGGAUUUUGAGUGAGGAGAUGAAGUGGCUCUCCCAGAGAAAGUACUUGCUGUCAUUUAGUAGACAACAAAACAGUGAUAUGAAUAAAGGAAUGAGUGAGUGAACCAAAGAACACUACUGUAACUCUAAGGGCCUUUCUGAGUAGGCACAGACUAGCUACUCAAUUGUUCAGGCUUGGGAACCUCCUAUGUUGAGGAAGCCACUGGGCAACUGGGACGGGGGUGAAGGGUGUUUAGGGAGAUCAGUUAUUCAUUUGUAUCAUAUUUUCAAAUAAGAUUGAAUUAAUAUGUCAUGUCAGGAAUAACGAAAGAAGUAAAAUUUCUCAGGAGCUUAUGAAAGUGGGUGGCGUGAGGAAGCACUGUGUCUGUACCACUGUGAACUAUGCUGUCCCAGCCUGGGCUUGGGCGGAAGACCCCAUCCCCCUAGAUCCAGGGAAUCCCCUUCUCCUCUUCCAAGGCUUAACACCCAGUCACAGCAAAGCCUCACUUCAAGAUAGCAUUUUAAAUUCCUACUCUACUUAAUUUAAAGUAUAGGUCAAGGAGGUAAAGGUGCCUAGGUGAUGCAGUUUGUGCUCGACAGCUCACCUAAAAGUAGGAGUACUGGGAGGAAAAGUCCUGGCGAUCUGCUUCUCUUAAGAUUACAGUCAAGAAAACCCAAUGGAGCAGUUCUACCCUGAAACACAUGGGGUCGCCACAAGUCAGAAUCGACUUCAUGGCAACUGACAACAACAAACUGAACCUGAGCUUCUGUGGUUCCUAAUUGUACACCCUUUCAUCAGCCAGUGUCUGCCCUCCUCCAUCUUUUCAGCUGCUUGCCCAUGCUGCCCUGGACCGCCCCAGCCCUGUUUCCUGUUUCCUCCUUGGUCCUCUGCCUGGCCGCUAACUUGCUUCUGAGAGCUUUCGCUACUUUCCACCCCACACCACACUCACACACCCAACCUGGCUCCGUCUGUUUUCUCUCUUCAUCCUGAGGUCUCGAAUCCUUCCCUCAUGUUCAGAAAUGUACAUAGAUAGACCUUAUGUUGACACGUACAACCCUCCUAGACAAACACAGGUGAGGUGGUUGUGUCUUAGCCUCUCAGGUUUGUGGCGUCAAGGCUUUCGGCCAAACAUAUGUUUUCUGCAUCACUCUGAAGUCACUCAUCUAAUAAGGACAUUUAAGGGGCUACUGUUCAAUUGUUUUCAAGAGGAAACAAUUUUAACCUAUUACUGUGGCUUGGUUAAGAAGGGUACAAGGAAGAGGUAUACCUGUCAGGGUCUUAACUAAAUAUACAAAUUAUUCUCUAACGUUUAAGUAUAAUUCCUUCUAUGAAAGACUUCCCUUAAAAAGAGGUGAAAAUUUCUCCCAUUUGCGUGUUUAAAUUUACUAAGAAAAUCACUUUCAUAGGAAACUCCUUUUGGAGAAGUCACAAAAUAUUAUAAAAGUUCAAGAAAAUGAGGUCAUUCCCAUGUUCCAAAGGAGCAAAUUCACUGAACAUUCUGCAAAUAAAGGGGGGAGGGAGCACAUUGGAUGAUCUUCUAUUUACAAAUAUAAAAUCCCAAGACAUGUUAUAGUGUUUUUAGAGUAAACAUUUUUGUUAUAAGGUACUACUAUCAUUAGUGUCAUUGUGCCCAGGGGAUUCUGUCUCCCACAGCAGCGCCCCCAAGGGGAGUGAGGGGUCCCAGGACAGAGGGAGAAUUGAUGAGAGGAUGGUGGUGAUGGACAGGCCCCAGGGAUCCCUAAGACCAAAUCCUUGGGCUCAUAGAUGAGUCUUCCCAAGACCCAGAGAUCAGUCUUCCCAAGGCCCAGACUCGAUAAUGAGCAGAAAAGGCCAAGUUUCAGCCACAACAGCAAGUAUUAGGAACUGGGAAACCCUGGAGGUGCCAGGGGUAUGUCCUUCCCUCGGUGAUGAGACCCCAAGUGGCACAGGGAAGCCCUCAGGGGCAAGGAAGGAAGGGCAGAGCCUCCAGGACAGGCAUUUCCAACCACAGGCUGCCCUGUUUGUACUUCUCAGAGUGACAGACUCUCCUGCGAGGGACAGGGUCAGAGACGGAGGAAGCGAGGGCUUUCAGGCGAGGUGAAUUCUGAAGUCUCCUGAUGAUCAAACAGAAAGCCCUGGAUGAUCAGAGGUACAAGAGAGUGAGGGGGCUGGCAUUCCCACAGUGGCCAUAGGCUGGCUGAGGGGGUCCUACUGUCCCUGGAGCUAUUGGUCAAAAUAUUUUUCCUUAAAAGCUGCAUCUUUCCAGUUAACUUCCUCUAUGUUCAGUCCAGGAAAAGGUGUAGCAUGCAAAGGGUACGUUUUCCAGCAGAGCAACAAAUGGAAGGAAGUGGUAGUGGCAUAUCAGGGAAAGAGAAUCUUCUAGAGACACAUGAGUUACCUAGUGAGCUGCAUGUGGUGUCCAGCCUUCCUCCUUUAUCUGUAGACAUGUACCUGCAAGAAACGUUUGAGGAGUAACUUCAUGGACCCUUACAAAAUUCUCGCUGGUCAUUUCCAGGUGUAGAGACCAGAAGAGCUCAUUGUCUCCAAGAACAAGCGUGAAAUCUGCUGGGUCUGACUGUUGAGCAGUCUGUGGUGUGCUCUUCUUCCAGUGAUUAAAAUCUUUGUAUCUGUUGUUAAAGAUAUUUUCCCCGUUCAAAAAAAAAAAUCCAACAAAAUGUUUUUAAAAUAAUGUAUCUAUGAUGAUGUUUAUCAACUUUCAAAGCUCUGAAAGUCUUUUGUAUAACACCUCUAAGGGUACAGAUUUGUAUAAUGAAAAAGUUACAGUCAUGGUCCCACCCUCAUAUGUAAUUUGGUCCUGCACCCCCAAGGCGUCCAAUGUUAAUAGACACGUGUAUCUUUCCCUACGUUUCUCAGCUGGGACACAUACACACAGUCACAGGUUCACAAGUAGAUCCCCUGGUUUGUUUGCUCUAAUGGAAAUUGGGUCAUACUCUACCCACGGUGCUCUGUAAAUUGCUAAUUCCCUGAAGGUCAUUAGGUAUGGCACUAACACUGCCUUUUUGGGUCUUCUAAGAUUGAACUCAUAUUUACACAUAAAGCAUUUAAAUAGAUGAGAACAAUUACUGUAUACACUAUCUAGACUCAUACAUAGCACUACUACAGUGGAAACACAUAUCACCAGUGCUUUCUAAGUCCGCUCUUCCUGCAUGUUCUAACUCCCCCGCCCCCACCAGUCCUUUUCCAGAAGUGAAUCCAAGGUAAUUCAGGUUAACAAUGUGGUAAGUACUCUCUCUUACCCUUGCUUAUACGAGCACACACAGACACAAAUGUAUCUUCGUCUGCUCCUUUACACACUCACAUAAACACAAACAGGUAUUCAAGCAUACUCAAACAAUUGCUAUUGCUUUACCCUAAUGUGCUCAUUUUAUACAGACUUCUCUGCACCUUCAUUUUCUCCUUCAAUAAUACUUCACAGAGAUUUCUCCUGUUUAACUACCAGAGUUCUUUUUCAUUCUAAUGACUCAAACUUUAUUGAUUUAGCUCUACCAUAAAUUAUCUAUCUUUCCACCAUCCAUGGCAGUCGAUUUUGCCGUUAUUAACAAUAACCGUCCUUUGUAUACUAGAGGAUUUGCUUCCAUGGGAUAGAUUCCAAAGGGUGAGAUUUCUAGGUCAAAGAAUGUUUCAAAAUUACAGAGCCAUGUCCGUGUCUUUCCCCUAAAGGCUGUCAUAACGCCCCUUUCCAGCCAUGUCUGAGGCACCCUUCUCCCCACAGCACCCCCCGGCCCCAGCCAUAGGUGGUGUAGAUUUUUAAAUUGUGCCAGUUUCACUGGGACUUUGAUAUUUUCUUCACUACCAGUGUUUUUGAACAACUUUGAUUAUGCUUAUUGGCCAUUCGUAUUUGCUCUGAACGGUCUUUUGAAUUCAUUGCUCAUUUUGCAAGUCCUCAAUUUUUGUCUUCCUUGUAUAAAAUGGAAAUAGUUGUUAAUCCUUAUCACCGACAUUUCCCAUAAUUUCCCAAAUCCAUCGCUGAUGUAUCACAUUCUUAGAAGUUUUUUUUUUUUUUUUUUGCCCAGAAUGAUCAGUUGAGUCAGCAGCGUUUAUAAGAUAAACCAUAAUUUUCCUGAGUUGAAAUACCACCUCUGUAUUAACGGUUAUUAUGAUAAUCUUUGUGGAUUUGCUACUUCGUUUCCUUGGUCUAGCUUUCAGUUCCUAUGCUAUGUAAUAUUUGUUCCAUUAGUUGAUGAAGCAGCCUCCUUCUUUUUCAUGUUUUUGUUGUCUGUUCUUUCGUAUCUGUUAUACUAUUUGCAUCUUAAGAUUACUGUAUACAAUUCAACAAAUAACUAGGUAAAUAUUCUAAUGGGAAUUGCAAUACAUUUGUAUGUUGGUUUUGGGGGACUGUCAUUGAUUAAACAAGACUUCCCAUUUGAUAAAACAUAUUUUUUGCAUUAUUAAGGUUUAAUUUUAUUUCCUCCUCUACUUCAAAUAGGCUCUUUUCUGUUCCAGUCAAAACAACAUUUUCCUAAGUAGUUUACGGUUUUGGACACAAUUUGAUGCAAUCAUGUAGUAAAGAAAAUUGUCUUUAUUCCUCCCACCCUGAAACUUCCAAUUUUGGGCACUGUGUCUAGAUUGGAGAGAAGUCAUUGAUUUUGGUAUAUUUGGCUUGUCAGUUUACCAAAAUUUUUAUCCUCAUUUUCUAGGUAUGCAAUUAUAUUAUCAUCAUAAAAAGAAGAAAAUCUGUUUUAAUAUUUAAUUCAUUCCUUAACUUUUCUAGCUCAUUAAUGCACCUAGAAAAGUAUGUUGGGUCAUAAAAGUAAUAACAGUAUAUUUGUCUACUUCCAAAUUUUAUUAGCAUGAAUGGAGUAUUUUUCCAUUUAUCUAAUAUCUACUAUGUUUUAUGAUAAUUUUUUAUGCCCCAGUAGAUAAUAUAUUGACCUGCUGACCGUUACAGUAAUGACAUACACCUUGUUUCUGACAGUUAAGUGCUUCCACCUGGCUUCUGCUGCUCUGGGACCCCAUUAUUCCCAUUGCUACUAGGCAGCUGUCUCCUACCCACAACCUAAGCCUCCAGAGGACAGACAUCGCUAAGUUUCACUUUGCUGCUGCUCCCCUCCACCGUGCAUUCCUUAUUGUUCUGAUGAGAGGAGUGUCCUUCAGGACUUCUCAAAAAUGGUCUUAAGAAAACUCACUCUGGAUGUCCAUGUAUUGGAGACUUUCCCCCCAUUUUUCAACAUCUGACACAGCAGUAACGGCAUUUUGAUUUCAUAGAAUGUGGACCAUUGCCUUUUCCAAGCUUCCAAGCGCAAUCCCUGUAGCAUAUUAAACCCAUUUCCAGAACCCCCACAAUGGCAAUAAAUCCUUUUUAGGAGAGAGUUCCCCCCAUAUCAACAAACUCUUCUUGACCCAACUUUACAUUAAACUCCCCUUGACUCAGCACCUUCAGCACUCGUCCCUCAGCACACCCCAGUCCUGCUCACACAAGGCAGCCAGGUCUUGCAGCUCCUUCAGUGUACAGUCCCUCCCCCCAACCACAACCAACACUUCCCCGGUGGCUAUGCUGGUAUCUGACAACUAAGUAUCUGGACAAAUGCAUGGGAUGCUAUCUCAGGACUCUGCAAAGGAAGUGGUUGAAGGUGGCUGGGGGAGGAAACCAGAACAUAAAGUAUGAAUAUUCCAGAGGCUGAAAUUAAAUGAGCCCAAAUCUCAUAACUACACUCAGGUUGUGGAUAGAAAUAGGUCCAAGACAAUCCUUCUUUCUCUCAUGCGGGGGGAAGACGGUCUGUAAAGGAGAGAGAUGGGCGGGCAGGCAGGCAGAGGGGCAAACACCUAAUACUCUAAGCCCAAAGAGUGUAGAGGAACGUCUGUUACGUUUUCUGUCUCUAUCAUACCAUUAUUUGGCCCCAUAGACAGACCCAGUCACUUAACCGCGUGGCAGAAUGAAGAGAUUAAAGCCCCAACAUUCUUGCCAGUGGACCGGGAAGGUAGCCCCUCAGAAGGCAGAGAGCCUCAGAGAGAUAGAGAGGAAGCAGCUCAAGACAGGGAUUUCAUAAAGUCGCACAUAAAGUCACCUCUAAGUUGACUCGAUGGCAAUGGGUAAGUUGCACAUGCAUAGAUCUGAUCCUAAGAAGCAUUGUAAACCUUUGAGCACUGUAUUAUGGGUUAGAACACCAUCUAGGUCCCAGACUGAGUGGCACUCACAUAGAUAAGUCCUCAAAAUAUUUUCGUCCUCUUAAGCUUUGAAAACUCAAAAGACAUUUGAGCCACAGCAUACAGGAGAUGAGACAGAACUUGCAGCCUGAACAUAACUGGGUCUAUUUCUUGCUAAAACAAGCAAACAAAAAAAUGACAAUUUCCAUAAGGUUAAAGCAGGACUCACAGCACUGGCAUAACAGAAAAAGUGUAAAAAGGUAUUGUAACCGUGCUCUAAGAAGUAACAGGAAGAGUUUUUUUUUUUUUUUUUAACAAAUGGCAAUGUAAAUAUUAUCACUAAAGAAAAAGAAGGUAUUUACAAAUGACAAUUUUUGAUGUGAGAAAAAUUUAGGUAUGAAUACACUAAUAAAAAAAAUUUUUUUUAGAAAUUAAAAAUUCACUUGAUGGGCUCAAUAGCAGAAUGUAGAUGGUAUUCUGUGUAGGUGUUAAAGUAUUUGAAAAAAUCUGGGCUGAACAGUUCCCAAUUUUGGUGAAAGACAAACUUACGAAUUUAAGAAGCUCAGGACAUGCCAACAAAUUAAAUUCAAAGAACUUUAUGCCCAAAUAAGUUAUAAUCAACUGUAGAAUAGCAAAGACAAUGAAAUGCCUUGGAAGAAGUUAGAGAGAAAACAACACAUUUCACAAAGGGGAAGAAAAUUUUCAAUUACUCUACAGUUCUCAUCCAAAACCAUGGAGGUCAAAAGACUGCAACAACAUUUUUUCAGUGCUGAAAGAAAAGAAUCGUUAACUCAGAAUUCUAUAUCCAGUGAAAAUAUCCAUCAGGAAUAAAGGAAAAUAAUGACAUUCUCAGCUGAAGGAACUCUAAAGAGAAUUCAUAACCACCAGACUUAGUUUAAGCACUAAAGGAAGUUCUUCAGGUGGCAGACUCGGAAUUUCAGGAAUUAUAGAAAGCAGCACAGUGCUAAGUAUCUGGGUGAACACUCUAUGCCAACCUUGCUGUCACUACACAACAUGGCGCAGGACUGCCCUCUUUGGAAAGUCUUUACAGCUUGGUGCAAACACUUUGGAAUACACUCUUGGUGGCGUAUCAGUACUAGAGAAUGAAAUUUACUUUGAAAAUAUGAGAGAUGUCUGUAGCCACAUCUGAUGAAAAACUGGAUAAUAACAUUUUGGACACCGAAUGAAAGAUGGUAGCAAACAAACAAACAAACAAAAUGAGUCUGAAUUCCCAUGUGCCCAUGAGCCGGCUCUGAAGGCCUUCCCCAGGGAGGCAUUUCAAAUACAUCUGGAGCAAUGGCAGCAUCAGGGAAUGAAGGCUAUAUACCUCUCCUCUGGCCUUCUCUGAAGGGUAACCACUUGCUUAAGUACCAAGCUUAGUGGUUAACAUAUAGUCAUUCUGUAGACAGUCUAGCUAAGAAUUACAAUGCCUCCUUGAGAGGAAAGCAUUUUAUACAAAUGACAUAAACAAGUGCCUCAAAGACAAAGUUAUAGUAAACCAAGGCAUUUCCUAUCAGUCUUUACCUGAGAGGGUCUUUGUAAGGAUUUCCAGCGGCUCAGAAAAAAGAACAGAGUAAACUCUGUCUUCUUUCACCUCUUCCCUCCUCAAGAAACAGGAACUGGUGCUAAGAUGUCAGGGGUCAAGCUCCAAACUCCUCUCCUGGUCCCGUAUCUAAGUUGUGUAAUAGCACCAGACAAUGAGCUAUAAGAAGAUGAACCCAAGGAGUAUUUCCAGUCUGUGACAGGUUUGCCUUCCAGUGAAAUCCUGUUUCAAAUCGCUAGACCAGUGGAGGAGCUCUGGUCCUCUGACCUGAGAGAAGGACAGGGUGGGGUUGUCAGAACCUCCUUGACCAUCAUUCUCCCCAAGAGGUUUUAGAGACUCGUUCAUGUCAUAACUCAAGGACUAUUACUGCCCAGUUGCAUAACUGCGGAAAAAGACUUUCUCCUUUGAAGGAGCAAAGGGCCCAGGAGGGGCAGGUGUGAGGCUUUUCUCUUUAAGUCAGCUUUGUGGCUUCAGGUCACUGGCCCCUGGCCACCUUCACAACCUGCCUUUUGAACUCAUCCUCAUCUCUCCCUCCCAAAUUCCCCCAGCACCCUGGGCUGUGGCUUCUGCGGGUUUCAAUGGUGUCCUUUCAGUAGCUCCUUGCUCUCCGCUGAGGGAGCAAACCCACAGUGCCCUUAAGUGUCCUUCAGUAGGAACAUUGCUGAGGGUACACGAUGGCCUGACUGAUCCUUAGACCCAGAUGGGCAGAACUUUGGGCGGGGGGUCAUUGUCCAGAAGUCUCAGCUUCCUUUAAGUGGCUCCAAACUUCAGUGUGUUGACUGCCCAAUACACAGGUGGGGGAAGCCUGUGGAAGAUUCUCAGUCCUAGUUUCACCCAGCACUGGGCAAACCCUAAGGGGGGAGAGCAGUGAGAUUCCUGAGGAUCUUUAUUCUAAAGUUCUCAAAGCAGCUGAUAUAGUCUUAAGAGGUGGGAGAUGAGAAAGCUUGGGACCAUGGGAGGGUGGCAAAAGAAGGAGACUCCUAUCACUCCCUCUGCGGUCUUGAGUAGUCCUUUCUUCCUUCCUCCCUUCCUUCCUCACACCCUCCCCCUUCCUUCCUUUCUCUUGCUUUUCCUCCCUUCCCUUCCUCCCUCCCUCCCUCUGUCGCUUCUUUCCUUCCUUCCCUCCAUCCCUCCCUUUCUCCCCGCUUCUUCCCUCUUCUUUUUUUUUUUUUUAAUGCAUCUCAGACUCCAAGCAGGCAUUUGUUGCUAAAAUCAUAUUUCUCUGUGUUAACUUAUGAUCCUUAACUUAAAUCUGGAGUAUGUAGCUCAUUUUGAUAAUUCCUCUUCUGUCUGCACAGAGAAGAGACUGCUCACAGCCAGUGAUGAGAGGGGAGGAAACAAAUUCCUUAGCCAGAGCAGGCUCUGCUGUUUCCUGUACUAGGGGUGACGCCCCUGGGGAGCCUUUCCCAGGGCAGCAGGGCAGGCAGUGAGUCCAGCCUGGGGCUGCGGCCAGGCUGUGUGGCCUCUGUGGCUUUGAUUUCUCCUCCUGGAAGGGUACCCUGUGGGCUUCCCAUGGGAGGACCCUGACUCCAUGGGUGACCACAACUCACUGCCCUGCCUCCUGUCCUCCUCUGGACCCAUGUCCUGAUAGGCCUUCUUCCCUCCUUCCCAGUAUAAGCAUUGUGAUCAAGCGGGGCAGAAAAAGUCCUCAGGGCCAGACCCUGGGCCUUGCCCUCCGUGGCCUUAGGCUUCCCCGAGUUUUGGUGGGACCUGUAGCCUGGCGGGGGUCUGGGGCCUUGAGGUGCUGGACUGGCUGGGCCUGUCCCAGAAGGCACAGCAGGCCGGGCUCUGUCCAGCAGCCCCA